UACACAUCUCCACCACUCCCCACCAUAAUUUAAUUAAAGCUUUUAAAUAAAAUCUAUCUUCUCUCACUUCAUUUCUCCUUUAUAUAUUUUGGUCUUUCUUCUUCAAACCCCUCACCAUCCAUCCCCUUCUCUCACCCUGUUUUGUUGGUUCUUCCACAACAGAAGAGGACUUAAUUUUCAGUCCAUUGGCUCAAGAAGGUUAAUUUUAUAUACGUGAACAUCACAAAGAUGAGUCGCAGAAAUGGUCCCAAGCUUGAGUUGAAGCUCAACCUAUCACCACCAAGGCUUAACCCAAGAGUGGAAUCACCAAGCCGAUCGGCUACCGUGUCACCGACAUCGCCUCCAAGCUCAUGCGUGUCAUCAGAGAUGGAGGAUGACACUGGCAGUAGUAGUGAGGCAACAACGACAUCCAUGGUUCUUGUGGGGUGCCCAAGGUGCCUUAUGUAUGUUAUGCUAUCAGAGGAUGACCCCAAAUGCCCCAAAUGCAAGAGCACUGUUUUGCUAGAUUUCCUCAACGACACUGCCACCGCUGCCUCCACCAAGACAAGAAAGAGCAGCUAGACCACACUGCAGCCUCACCCCUGCCCUUUCCCUAAUUUUAAUGUUACAGCUCUCUUAGAUAGUGCUAUUUGCUCUCCACCUUUAGUUUUUGACCUUUUUCUUUAUAAACUCCACUAAUGAUAGAAAAAAACAAGGUGGAGCACCAAUAGCAGUGAUCUUUUCCUUUUUUCUUUUUUUCUCUUUUCCGGAGGAUCCUAAAUCUAAUCAUAGAACAUAGAAUAUUGGCGUUUAUGGGUUUCUUCCUCUUUAUCAGAAAUCUAUGUAAACUGGUUAAAGUGAAGUUGCAACUGCCAAAACUUUCUAUGAUAAUGAAAAAUAUAAUAUGAUAUAGAUCGGGAAAA